rnacentral:rRNA from 1 species
UACAGAGGGUGCAAGCGUUGUUCGGAGUUACUGGGCGUAAAGAGCACGUAGGCGGAUGAAGCAGUCGGGUGUGAAAUCCCUGGGCUUAACCCAGGAACUGCGCCCGAAACCAUUCAUCUGGAGUAUGGCAGGGGAGCGGGGAAUUCCCGGUGUAGAGGUGAAAUUCGUAGAUAUCGGGAGGAACACCAGUGGCGAAGGCGCCGCUCUGGGCCAUCACUGACGCUGAGGUGCGAAAGCUUGGGGAGCAAACAGG